rnacentral:lncRNA from 1 species
GGAGGACCAACCACACUGACGACGUCAAUGAAUUCAUAAAACUAUAAAUGAAAAAAAAAAAGACAAAUAAAAAAAAUAAAAAUGAAAAAUGAUAGCCUCUACAUCAAAACAAAGAAACUGAUAGACAAAUGCAAAAGGUAACUUUUUAUUUAAUUAGAAUAUGUAAAUUGAAUAUCGAUCUAUUGGUAAAAAUAACAAACAUGUCAUUUCUUAAUAAAUUUAUCUUGGUCAAGGACACUACUCUUCUGUCCUAUGAAUCAAAAUGAAUGUAUUAAUAGUGUUCCGCUUUCAGUAUAUAAGUUGCAGUUUUUGGCAUAACAGGAAAGAAUACACGAGAUGAAUUUACCGAGAAUUAAAAGUAUUUCCCUGCUUAGUCGAUAGGAAACAAGUAAGUCAAAGUGUUUCGCAAAUCAAGUAAUAAUUACAGGGGCGAGCGCGCACACUCACAUGUACACACACACAUACGCACACAUACACAUCUUCACAACAUCAACUUCUCUAUGUAACUGUCUACAUGUGUAUGUGUAUAUGUAAGUGUGUGUGUGUGUGUGUGUGUGUGUGUGUAUGUGUGUGUGUGUGUGUGUGUGUGUGUGUGUGUGUGUGUGCGUGUGUGUGUGUAAGAAUGCUUAUUUUUGUGUGAGAGUGUGUGUAAGAAUGCUUGUUUUUGCAAGUGGGAAUCAGAACUCGAUACCUUGAUACAUUCACCACACACGCCCUUAAUACACACACAGAGUGUGUGAGCGAGUGUGUAUGUGAGAGAGGGAGAGAAAGGAAGAGAGAGAGAGAGAGCUGGAGAGCUAAGGAUACUUGUUUUGCAAGUGGUGAGAACCAACUACAUAUAUGUAAUCAAACUGUGUAUGUAUGUUUGUGUGAUAUAUAUAUAUAACCUCAUACACACAUAUACACACAUAUACACUCACAUGUAUAUAUAUAUAUAUAUAUAUAUAUAUACUUCAUACACACAUAUACACUCACAUGUAUAUAUAUAUAUAUAUAUAUAGACGCGCGCGCACGCACACAUGUAAUAUAUGUAUGCUUGUAUAUAUUAUGUAUACACACACACAAAACCGUAUCUGUUUCAACACACUAUGUCGCAUCAGGGUUCUUGCAAAACAAAUAACAAACGUAAUUAUAUAUAUUCAUAUAUAUAUGCACCAGGUGGUGCAUAUAAUAGCACCAGGUGGUGGUAUUAAGUUAGACAUGGCCUGGGCCAAUAAUGGCCGAAACCUAUCAAAGUAUAUAUAUAUAUAUAUAUAUAUAUAUUUAUAUAUAUAUAUAUAUAUAUAUAUAUAUAUAUAUAUAUAUAUAUAUAUAUAUAUAUAUAUAUAUAUAUAUAUAUAUAUAUAUAUAUAUAUAUAUAUAUAUAUAUAUAUAUAUACACACACACACAUAAUAUAUUCUUGUAUUCUGGCAUUUGUUUCAGUCAUUUGACUGCAGCCAUGCUGGAGCACCGCCUUUAGUCGAGAAAUCGAACACCAGGACUUAUUCUUUGUAAGCCUAGUACUUAUUCUAUCGGUUUCUUUUGCCGAACCGUUAAUUUACGGGGAGUAAACACACCCACAUCGGUUGUCAAGUGGUGAUAGGGGGACAAACACAAACACGCACAUACAUCCACACCCACAAAUACCCACACACGCAUAUACAUGACGGGCUUCUUUGAGUUUCUGUCAACCAAAUCCAUUCACAAGGCUUGUAUAUAUACAUACAUACAUAUAUAUAUAUGCAUGUGAGCAUACAUACAUACAUACAUACAUACAUACAUACAUACAUACAUACAUACAUACAUACAUACAUACUUACAUAAAUACAUAUACAUAUAUAUCUUCAUACAUGUAUAUAUUUAUAUAUAUAUUUGUAUAUAUGUAUGUGUAUAUAAAUAUAUGUAUAUGUAUAAUGUAUACAUGCAUAUAAUAUACAUAUGUACGUAUGUACAUAUAUGUAUGAGAGUAUAUAUGUAUAUAUAUAUAUAUAUAUAUAUAUAUAUAUAUAAUACAAAUAAGAAAAUGGGGGAACAAAUUCAUUUCAAUCAUCAACUUACAGAUAUUACCAAUUCAUAUUAUUUAUUAACUACACUCAUAACCCCUAUCUCACUUUGUACUUUUAUAUAUAUAUGGGAGAAAGGAAAGAAACGAAACGAAACAUAUAUAUAUACAUGCAUAUUUGUAUAUAUGUAUGCACAUGUAUAAUAUAUACGUGCGCAUGAUAUACAUAAAUACGUCUAUGCAUGUUAAGCAAACUUACAUACAUACAUAAAUACAUAUACAUAUAUGUAUAUAUAUAUAUAUAUAUAUAUAUAUAUAUAUAUAUAUAUAUAUAUACCUUCAUACAUGUAUAUAUUUAUAUGUAUAUUUGUAUAUAUAUAUGUGUGUGUAUAUAAAUAUAUGUAUAUGUAUAAUGUAUACAUGCAUAUAAUAUACAUAUGUACGUAUGUACAUAUAUGUAUGAGAUAUAUAUAUAUAUAUAUAUAUAUAUAUAUAUAUAUAUAUAUAUAUAUAUAUAU